rnacentral:tRNA from 1 species
CCAGUAGCUCAGUUGGUUAGAGCAGUCGACUCAUAAUCGAUCGGUCGCAGGUUCAAGUCCUGCCUGGCC